rnacentral:pre_miRNA from 1 species
UCUUUGGUUAUCUAGCUGUAUGAGUGCAUUAGUCGUCAUAAAGCUAGAUAACCGAAAGUA